CAAGUCGAGCGAGGCGGAGGGGGCAACUCCUUCCAGUCGAGCGGCGGACGGGUGAGUAACACGUGGGUAACCUGCCCGGAAGUGGGGAAUACCUCGGAGAAAUUCGAGCUAAUACCGCAUGACAUCUUCGGGACGAAAGUCCUGACGAUCAAAGCGGGGUCGCAAGAUCUCGCGCUACCGGAUGGGCCCGCGCCCGAUUAGCUAGUUGGUGAGGUAAUGGCUCACCAAGGCUUCGAUCGGUAACCGGCCUGAGAGGGCGAUCGGUCACACCGGAACUGAGACACGGUCCGGACUCCUACGGGAGGCAGCAGUGGGGAAUCUUGCGCAAUGGGCGAAAGCCUGACGCAGCAACGCCGCGUGGAGGAUGAAGGCCCUUGGGUUGUAAACUCCUGUCGGCUGGGAAGAAAUCGAUCGUGGCUCAUACCCACGGUCGUUGACUGUACCAGCAAAGGAAGCCCCGGCUAACUCUGUGCCAGCAGCCGCGGUAAUACAGAGGGGGCUAGCGUUAUUCGGAAUUAUUGGGCGUAAAGGGCGCGUAGGCGGCCAUGCGUGUCUUCCGUGAAAUCCCUCGGCUUAACUGAGGACGUGCGGAAGAAACUGCAAGGCUCGAGUCCGGGAGAGGGGGGUGGAAUUCCCAGUGUAGCGGUGAAAUGCGUAGAUAUUGGGAGGAACACCGGUGGCGAAGGCGGCCCCCUGGACCGGUACUGACGCUUAGGCGCGAAAGCGUGGGUAGCAAACGGGAUUAGAUACCCCGGUAGUCCACCCCGUAAACGAUGGGCACUUGGUGUCGCGGGUAUCGACCCCCGCGGUGCCGAAACCUACGCAAUAAGUGCCCCGCCUGGGGGAAUAC
rnacentral:rRNA from 1 species